GCGAAGGGAGCUGGGAAGCGGGAGCGGCGAGCGCGCCUGGAGCGCAGCUGUGGGCGUGGGGGCGACAGGAGCUGCGGAGCCGGCCCGAGAGCGGGGCUGCCGGAGCGGGCGGCCGAGGCAAAGGCGACGAAAUGAAUGCCGAACCCUUACGAAGAGAUAAAGGUUAUUUGGUACAUAUUGGUGGUCUCUGUCCUUCGGUAUCUGAGGUCUCAUUUCCAGAAAUACCAAGUUUCUGAAAUUUCAAUUUAUGAUUCUUCUACUAAUUACAGAUAUGCAUCUCUUGCUUUCCAAAAAAAAAAAAAAAAAAACAGUGAUGUAAAGAUGGCUGUGAAAGGAAUGAUGCCAAAAAGAACUGCAAAGAAAUGUCAAGCACAUGACCGCAGCUAGACAAUCCAAGGCAAGAUGAAUGUCAGAAGAUUUUGGCUUCCUGGAAAAAACUCACCAUGGACUUUGGUUAUUCAGAAUUAGCUACUUCUUCUGUAAGGCUAUCAGGAACUAUGGACCUCACAACAUGAAGGAAAAUAAGCCUUGGCAUCAUUUAAGGCUAUACCGAUGAAGCAAGGAGAGAAAGGAACACUUAAUGACAAGCCGCGAUACAAAAGGAGAAGGUGUGUGCAAUCCUGUUUAACAACCUUCGCAUCUUUUGUCACAGUUUAACUUGCGCACACACGUACACACAUAAGUGUUGCGAUAAUCCAACAGACGUCUGCACCCGGCACUGUGGGGUUAAUUCUCUGACUCCCACACAGCAGGUGGUCACAAUCUAACAGCAAUAUUUACUAGGAGAGUCUGACAGCUUCCUAGGGAACAUCCCUAGAGCUUCUAGAAGGAUGCUACACGUGAGAUCUAGAAAGAUGCUACACGUGAGAAAAACGAAUAGUCUGAAAAACUGAAAUGUUUCAGUCAAGCUUACAUGAUUUUAAUUUUUAAAAACAAAUCCAAAGAACAGUAUUUUAUUUCAGCGGUCUUCUAUGAGCAAUUUGAUAUACAAAAACUGUUUUCUUAAAAGUCUCAACCAUAAGAAAAUACUUUUUAUUCUUUGAGAUUUCUUUAAAUGUUUUUAUUAUCAACAUCACCUCUCUGUAAUUUGUAUUUAGCUACCACACCUCAAAUUAUUUGCUUUAAUUAAAACUAUAAUAAUUAAAACAAUGUACUAUUUAUUUUAUUCUUACUUUUCAUACAGUAUUAUUUUGUUCCUUCCACUAACCUACAGGAGCUAAGAGUUGAACAUGGUCAGCGUCAAAGUAUUCUGAGGGUGAGUGUAGAGUCAGAGCCACACAGAGCCUGAACACUUUCUCCAUCUUCUGUUCCUUCCCUUGCAGUAUUCUGGAUUAACAGAAGAACAUAGUCACCCGACCUCCAGAUGAUUUUCCACCUGUGUCUGGCAAGACUGGGGAAAACCCUGGGGCUACACUCGGGUGUCUGAUGACUGAGGGUUUCACAGAAGAGGCCUCUCCUGACUCAGCUUGGAGGGACUCGUCUGUUAGGAACAGCAUGAGCCUAGGAAACCUUCAUGACGAACCUUGUGUUAGAUCAUGAGCCCCAGCAUUUGGGAACAACUGAAACAUAUCUCUAAAUCUUACAGAUUAUAAUACUGUUUAAAUUCUAGGCCUUAAAAAUACAGUAAACAUUAAAGCUUCUGGGAUUCCUAAAAUCUCCUUGCCCGGACCUUUCCCGUCCCAUAAGGGAAGAAAAUGAGCGAGGGAAGCUCAUUCUCAGCACUUCACUGUAUUCCAUGAUUGCAACUGAGCCCUGUGAAUCUCCUCUUUCCCCACCUCCACACUUCCUUUCACAGCCCCCUCAGUCCUCCCUUUCCUUGACAAACCCAAGUAAACCCCACAGUUCAACCAACUGUAGAUCAAAAAUAUUUGAGAAAAAAAUUGUAUCUGUACUGGA